AGAGCGAGGUGUAGGGAAAUCGAGGGGGAGAGAACCCGAGUGUGUGUGUGCGUGUGCGUGUGUGAGCGCGAGCGAGCGAGGGAGAGGAGCGAGAGAGUGCGAGCGAGAAAGAAUAAAAGGAAAGAAGAUUUUCUCUAUGUAUAUAAAGAUGGCCACGUUAGCAAACGGACAGGCUGACAACGCGAGCCUCAGUACCAACGGGCUCGGCAGCAGCCCGGGCAGCACCGGGCACAUGAACGGAUUAAGCCACAGCCCGGGGAACCCGUCGACCAUUCCCAUGAAGGACCACGAUGCCAUCAAGCUGUUCAUUGGGCAGAUCCCCCGCAACCUGGAUGAGAAGGACCUCAAGCCGCUCUUCGAGGAGUUCGGCAAAAUCUACGAGCUUACGGUUCUGAAGGACAGGUUCACAGGCAUGCACAAAGGCUGCGCUUUCCUCACCUACUGCGAGCGUGAGUCAGCGCUGAAGGCCCAGAGCGCGCUGCACGAGCAGAAGACGCUGCCCGGGGUAAGUGGCGCCCGCCGCGGCGCGAGCGACCGACGCGCCGACAGGGGGCGACUUCGGGAGGCCGGGCUGCGACGCGGCGGGCGGGGGACAUG